rnacentral:tRNA from 1 species
GUUUUGGUGGCGCGUCUGCCUUGUAAGCGCUAGGCCGCGGGUUCGAUUCCCGCCCGGGGCG